rnacentral:rRNA from 1 species
UGGGGAAUUUUGGACAAUGGGCGAAAGCCUGAUCCAGCAAUGCCGCGUGUGUGAAGAAGGCCUUCGGGUUGUAAAGCACUUUUGUCCGGAAAGAAAUCCUUGGCUCUAAUACAGUCGGGGGAUGACGGUACCGGAAGAAUAAGCACCGGCUAACUACGUGCCAGCAGCCGCGGUAAUACGUAGGGUGCAAGCGUUAAUCGGAAUUACUGGGCGUAAAGCGUGCGCAGGCGGUUUGCUAAGACCGAUGUGAAAUCCCCGGGCUCAACCUGGGAACUGCAUUGGUGACUGGCAGGCUAGAGUAUGGCAGAGGGGGUAGAAUUCCACGUGUAGCAGUGAAAUGCGUAGAGAUGUGGAGGAAUACCGAUGGCGAAGGCAGCCCCCUGGGCCAAUACUGACGCUCAUGCACGAAAAGCGUGGGGGAGCAAAACAGGAUUAGAUACCCUGGUAGUCCACGCCCUAAAACGAUGUCAACUAGUUGUUGGGGAUUCAUUUCCUUAGUAACGUAGCUAACGCGUGAAGUUGACCGCCUGGGGAGUACGGUCGCAAGAUUAAAAACUCAAAUGAAUUGACGGGGUCAUAGCUGUUUCCU